GGAGGGAUGGUCGAGUGGUUGAAGGCGACGGUCUUGAAAACCGUUAGACCCUUAUAGGGUCUCGAGGGUUCGAAUCCCUCUCCCUCCGCCA
rnacentral:tRNA from 1 species